UGAGUACGAGAUGCUACGGCAUCGAAGCAGUCUAUGUCAUACUUCCAAGAAAAGCUUGCACUGUCAGAAACAGAUAAUGCCUGUACCAUAACCGACACAGGUGGGUAGGUAGAGUAUACUAAGGGGCGCGAGAUAACUCUCUCUAAGGAACUCGGCAAAAUGACUCCGUAACUUCGGGAGAAGGAGUGCCUUAUUUUUAAGGUUGCAAUAACAAGAUCCAAGCAACUGUUUACCAAAAACACAGGUCUCCGCUAAGUCGUAAGACGAUGUAUGGGGGCUGACGCCUGCCCAGUGCCAGAAGGUUAAAGAAGUCGGUUAGCAUUCGCGAAGCUGGUAACUGAAGCCCUGGUGAACGGCGGCCGUAACAAUAACGGUCCUAAGGUAGCGAAAUUCCUUGUCGGGUAAGUUCCGACCCGCACGAAAGGCGUAAUGAUUUGGAUACUGUCUCGGAGAGGGGCUCGGUGAAAUAGACUUGUCUGUGAAGAUGCGGACUACCUGCACCUGGACAGAAAGACCCUAUGAAGCUUUACUGUAACUUGAAAUUGAAAUUGGACUUUAUUUGCGCAGUAUAGGUGGGAGGCGUUGAAAAUAUUCUUGCGGGAAUAUUGGAGCCAUCAGUGAGAUACCACUCUUGUAAUGUUAGAUUUCUAACUUUAUAUCAUUAUCUGGUUAAAGAACAGUUUCAGGCGGGCAGUUUGACUGGGGCGGUCGCCUCCCAAAUGGUAACGGAGGCGCACAAAGGUUUCCUCUGAACGGGUAGAAAUCGUAUCUAGAGUGUAAAGGCAUAAGGAAGCUUGACUGUGAGACCUACAAGUCGAGCAGGGACGAAAGUCGGUCUUAGUGAUCUGACGGUGCUGAGUGGAAAGGCCGUCACUCAACGGAUAAAAGUUACUCUAGGAUAACAGGCUGAUCUCCCCCAAGAGUUCACAUCGACGGGGAGGUUUGGCACCUCGAUGUCGGCUCAUCGCAUCCUGGGGCGGUAGUACGUCCCAAGGGUUGGGCUGUUCGCCCAUGGAAGCGGUACGCGAGCUGGGUUCAGAACGUCGUGAGACAGUUCGGUCCAUAUCCGGUGUAGGCGUUAGAAUAUUGAGAGGAGCCUUCUUUAGUACGAGAGGACCGAGAAGGACAUACCUCUGGUGUACCAGUUAUCGUGCCAACGGUAAACGCUGGGUAGCUAUGUAUGGAGUGGAUAACCGCUGAAAGCAUCUAAGUGGGAAGCCCACCUCAAGAUAAG
rnacentral:rRNA from 1 species